rnacentral:rRNA from 1 species
CUACGGGGUGCACCAGUGGGGAAUAUUGCACAAUGGAGGAAACUCUGAUGCAGCGACGCCGCGUGAGUGAAGAAGUAUUUCGGUAUGUAAAGCUCUAUCAGCAGGGAAGAUAGUGACGGUACCUGACUAAGAAGCUCCGGCUAAAUACGUGCCAGCAGCCGCGGUAAUACGUAUGGAGCAAGCGUUAUCCGGAUUUACUGGGUGUAAAGGGAGUGUAGGUGGUAUCACAAGUCAGAAGUGAAAGCCCGGGGCUCAACCCCGGGAGUGCUUUUGAAACUGUGGAACUAGAGUGCAGGAGAGGUAAGUGGAAUUCCUAGUGUAGCGGUGAAAUGCAUAGAUAUUAGGAGGAACACCAGUGGCGAAGGCGGCUUACUGGACUGUAACUGACACUGAGGCUCGAAAGCGUGGGGAGCAAACAGGAUUAGAUACCCCUGUAGUC